UAGGGAAUCUUCGGCAAUGGACGGAANNNUGGACCGAGCAACCNCGCGUGAGUGAAGAAGGUUUUCGGAUCGUAAAGCUCUGUUGUAAGAGAAGAACGAGUGUGAGAGUGGAAAGUUCACACUGUGACGGUAUCUUACCAGAAAGGGACGGCUAACUACGUGCCAGCAGCCGCGGUAAUACGUAGGUCCCGAGCGUUGUCCGGAUUUAUUGGGCGUAAAGCGAGCGCAGGCGGUUAGAUAAGUCUGAAGUUAAAGGCUGUGGCUUAACCAUAGUACGCUUUGGAAACUGUUUAACUUGAGUGCAAGAGGGGAGAGUGGAAUUCCAUGUGUAGCGGUGAAAUGCGUAGAUAUAUGGAGGAACACCGGUGGCGAAAGNGGCUCUCUGGCUUGUAACUGACGCUGAGGCUCGAAAGCGUGGGGAGCAAACAGGAUUAGAUACCCUGGUAGUCCACGCCGUAAACGAUGAGUGCUAGGUGUUAGACCCUUUCCGGGGUUUAGUGCCGCAGCUAACGCAUUAAGCACUCCGCCUGGGGAGUACGACCGCAAGGUUG
rnacentral:rRNA from 1 species